rnacentral:pre_miRNA from 1 species
GGCUCUAGUCUGGCAUUGUAUUGAGGACUAAAAGUGCACCCUUAUAGGGCUGGGAACUCUGGAGCUGG